rnacentral:rRNA from 1 species
AUGGCUAAUGAGGUGAUCCGUCUGCUUGAUCAAGCACGGGAUUAUCGGCCCUUAUCGGAAGCUGAGUUCUGGCUUAGAGGCCAAUUGAAGAGGAAAGUUCGGGGGCUGGCAUCAUUGCAGCGCACUAUUGCUAGACAACACUCAAGGAUUCAAUGGUUGAGAGAGGGUGAGGCCAACACUGAUUUCUUCCAGUCUUUCGCUUCGGCAAGGAGAAGGAACAAUCAGAUUUUUAGGCUUAAGGCAGGAGAGGGGGAAGCCACGACACCGGACGAGAUGGAUAACCUGGCGGUUGGUCACUUUGUUGACCUCCUUGGCACGCCAAGGGCGAGGGCGCACUAUAAGUAUAAUUAUGUUUAA